CAAGCCCACUGGAAACAAACAAGAACCAUUUGAUCUUCUUGCUCUCAAGGGCCAAGCCCACCCGAAACCUAUCAUCUUCUUCCAUAGCUCCGCUUUCUCUUUCUAGCGGAUCUCGUCUCCUCCCCAGUCUGGCUUGCGCCACCUCCCUCGAUCCACCGUCAUCGUCAUCCCCUCCCAGGCAUCGAGCUCGAACCAGGUCAGUCCCCGCAAACCCUAACUCCCUCCCGAUUUCGUGAAUGAAAGCGGGUCCAUCGUGCGUCGCCAACCGCUACGUCAAGUAGCGGAUUCUGAAUUGUGGGUCUUUCGAAGUUUCGCUUUUCCGAUAGCAAAUUGUGGGUUUAUCGCUGAUGGGUGCGGGUUUGCUGUUCGAUGUGAAGCGAAUUCCGUGGUGGGUUUCGCGAUAGCUGCGGCGAGAGCUCCCUCUCCGCCGUCAAGUGGAGCAAACAUGGAGCCAACCCACAAUAAAAGGCACACCACCUGCUCCAAGGGACGGCCAUAGUUUUACUAAUGUUGGUGACAAUUUGUUUGUGUUUGGUGGGACGGAUGGACGAACCCUCUCGCGGAUUUGCAUAUACUAGACACUCCAGAAGUUGGGCUCUUUUUAAUGUAGCUCACGAAUAUGUUACAUAGCUUCUCAUACAUGGAUAUCACCAAUUACAUGGGGAGAGGCACCGGAGGCAAGGCAGGGUCAUAGUGCAGCACCUGUGUGUAGAAGGCUGCUCAUAUUUGGUGGGUAUGGAAAAUCUCCUGAUGAUGAGGAUGAAGUAUAUUAUAAUGAUCUCUUCAUAUUGAACACAAGUACAUUCUUUUUAAAAGUCGACAUUUCUUCUUUGCUUCUAGUCCAAAUUGACAUCUAUUUGUGAAA